UGGGGAAUUUUGGACAAUGGGGGAAACCCUGAUCCAGCCAUCCCGCGUGUGCGAUGAAGGCCUUCGGGUUGUAAAGCACUUUUGGCAGGAAAGAAACGUCAUGGGUUAAUACCCCGUGAAACUGACGGUACCUGCAGAAUAAGCACCGGCUAACUACGUGCCAGCAGCCGCGGUAAUACGUAGGGUGCAAGCGUUAAUCGGAAUUACUGGGCGUAAAGCGUGCGCAGACGGUUCGGAAAGAAAGAUGUGAAAUCCCAGAGCUCAACUUUGGAACUGCAUUUUUAACUACCGGGCUAGAGUGUGUCAGAGGGAGGUGGAAUUCCGCGUGUAGCAGUGAAAUGCGUAGAUAUGCGGAGGAACACCGAUGGCGAAGGCAGCCUCCUGGGAUAACACUGACGCUCAUGCACGAAAGCGUGGGGAGCAAACAGG
rnacentral:rRNA from 1 species